CAGCUGCUUGACAGUUGUGAGACCACGGAGACUCCUAAGAGGGUUUGAAAAAAUAAAAAUUAAUAUGUGUCUUGGGUAAGAGUUUUGGAAGACAGAGGUGAGAAGACCAGCAAAGAGGGUGUGAGGAAUCUAGAAAGAAGAGGAGCAGAGCCUGGAUGGGGCUGCUGGAGUUCAGUGUCUUCCUGCUGCUGCUGGGCUGUUCAAGGCCUGAACAGAACAAAAGGCUCACCCUCCCCCAGGAAGAAAGAAUUCCUCUGCCUGAUGUUCUUUAAACUGGGACAUCAACUCUGCCUGAUUCUAGAGCAGCCUGCCAGCCUUAUGUCUUGAACUAGGACAUUGAAUCUAUAGAUUUUGGACUUGUCAGCCUCCAUAGUCACAUAAGCCAGUUCCUUAUAAGACAGAGAUAGAGGUAGGUAAUAUGAUCAAUAGACUGAUAGAUUAAUCAAUAGACAGGUAGAGAUAGAUGAGAGAGAGAUCCUAUUGGCUCUCUUUUUCUGCAGAAUUCUGGCUAGUACAGGACCUAUCUCAGGAGGUUAUAUUAAAAUUACUUAAGGCGAUGUAACUGAAGCCCUUUGCUAUGUAUCUGGGAUAGAAUAGCUGCUCUGUAAAUGUUAAGAAUUUUUUUUAUAAGACUGUUCUUGAGGAGCAGAUUGCAUUAACCUUCUUAAUAACAUUUAUUAUUUUAUAUUGAGCCUGCCGAGCCUAGUAAAGCCAGUUUUAUUUUGAGAGGAAGGGGAAGACAAAGACUUGUCGACAGAGCCAUAAAGCUUGGGGACAGAUGUGACCACACCAUAGGUGGUGAACAACUGCAGCCUGGGCAUCAGCAGUGUCCUCAGGUGCCCCUAAACUCCCCCACCCCAGGACUCCCCUCAAUGGCAGAGGCGCCCACCAGGUCUCUGGGGAGUUGCAGCCACUGCCCUGGUCUAGAGUAAGCUCCUCUUUGAGAUAGAUAAGAGCACAGCUCUGAGACGAGGCGGGGAUGAGAGGUUCCCCACAAUGCCUGGCAUCCAUCCAGUGCACUUUCCAAAAGACUCCUAACUAUGCCCACCUCCCUGACUCCAAAACCAAAGCCUUUGUCCACACUGGAUCUGUCACACCUUCUACCCCCUCACCUCCUCCUCUUGUAGCCUCCCUGCCUCUGGAGGUCCGAGGCCUUUAGCUGAGUCUACCCUCCCCACUGAAACUGUACCCAUCAGACAGAAACCCCUGUGUCUUGCCCUCCUCCCAGCACCUAGAAUAAUCCCAAAUGUGUUCAGUUUAUUGGACUGAAUGCUCGGUGUCCUUGCAGCCCCUCGGCCCCCAGCUCCUCCUCAGCUUCUCUAAUCUGGGGCACUGAAGGACUGGCAGACGCACCUGGGGCACUUCUGGGAACUGAAGAUUCCCGGGCCUUGCUCCAGAACUACACAAGCAGAGCCUCCAGGGAUGGGGCCUUGGAAUCUGAAUACUUUUAAAGGGGUUCUUGGAGAUUUAGAAACAUUUUCUCAUGACCUUGGACUCUCCUCCCCAAACGAUUCAACUCAUGCAAGACUAGCUGUUAAACUCACCCUCCAGUGACAUCAGGCCAGCCCCCCUGCGGCACCCACGCUCCACCCUCCUGCCCCACGACUUUACCCCCAGUCCACCUGCUCCAGCAAACGACCUUCUUUCCUCCCUCCUUCCUGACCAUGAACUUGCACAUCCCCCUCCCCAGCAUCCCAGCCCCAGCCUCCCCCCAAGUGGACCCUCAUGUGCGCAUUGUUUCUGCCUUUGCCUCCCUGACUAGUGCACUUUGCCAGUAGUGACUCAGAGAGAGAUACAUAAAAUCUCUUAGUUUAUAUGCUGACUAUUCAAUAACAGUUCAUCCAUG